rnacentral:lncRNA from 12 species
CUCUCCCUCUGAAAUAAAUAGGUGAAUCUUUAAAAAGGGAAAGGUAAUAAAUUAAUUAAUUAAAAUAAAAUAAAAUAAAAUAAAAUAAAAUAAAAAAUAAAAUAAAAUAAAAUAAAAUAAAAUAAAAGGGAAAGGUGUCAUUUUAAAGAUUUUUGCAUCCCACAGGUCAUCUCUGCAGAGGAAGCUUCUUCCAGCCGUGGACAUACCUGCCGCCACUCACCUUCCAACACGACAAUUCUGCGACACCAGCAGCCAAAGCCUCCUUGACCGCACUGUUCCAGGACAACAGGGUGCGAUCUGCAUCAACCGCGUCAAGUCGUCUUUCGAAUACCCUGGGAGGUGAUUUAAACUCAACGCCUUGUUGAGUUGCUGGUGAUGGGAGGUGAGAGUGUGUGAAACCCCCAAAGGGCAAUGUCAAGGUACAGGAGGGGGUAUCUAUAGUAGUCCCAAUCUACUCUUGGGGCUUCUUCAAAUAAAAAGCUUCUGCACAGCA